CAGGUGGACCGGGAAGGCGGAGCUUGGAAGAGCCGGGAGGCGGGGCUGAAAGUUCCUCAACCCUGGGAGUGGAAGAAGCAGGGUGCAUUUGGGGCAGGAGUCAGAAACUCUGAUCAUUUACCACAUUGGCAGGAACCAGAACUCUCCUGUAUCUUGUUCGUCUUCACGGGAAGUCUCAGCAUGAGACAGCAGCACUGGUUUGGCAUGACUGCCAAAAUGGGCACCGUGUUAUCAGGGGUCUUUACCAUCAUGGCCGCCAACAUGUGCCUCAUCUUCGAACACAAGUACUUAAGGAGCAACAAUUGCACUGAUAAUAACCUGCAGAACAAUAGUGCAAGUGUCCUGAUAAGCCACUUCAUCAUCUGCUGGGCUUUCAAUAUUGUCUUCUUCCUGUCUUUCAUUACCCUCAUCAUCAGCUUCUUCCUCCUGUACUCAGUGUAUGCCCAAAUACACGGGGGCUUGGUGACCUACAUGAUCUGGAUCCUUUUCUACGAAGUUGUAAACAUUAUAGUACAAAUCUUUACCAACAAUGACUCUGUCAUUGAAGAGGUCAGAGUCGUGCGUUGGUUUGGCUUGAUGUCCCGUAUUUUCAUGCACUGUUUCUGGAUAUUCUAUGUCAUCUCCUAUGCUCACAUAAUCUACAAAAGUCAAAGCCCAGGCAAUAUAAUUUUCUACAACAGGCGUAUUUCGACAGCCACUGGAGAGUUCCUACGACGGAAAUCCAAGAUCAUCAACCUUACCCGACACUAUAGUAAAUAAUGUUUGCCCUUCUCUCCACUGAUGGUAAUUCUAGUUCCAUCUCUCUCACUUCUGCUGAUCUGUUCGGAAUAGAGACUCUGCUGCCAUCUUUUUGGGAGACUAUGGAGAGGAAUGUAAUUAUAAUCCCAACGAGGACCACCUGCUCAGGAAGGGCGUUUAAUGAAAGGCCAUUGUUGUUUACCAAGCACUUCUUGGGUUUCUCCUUCGUUUUCUGGUCAGUGCCGCCUUAGAGGUCAAAAUAAAGAGGGCAAGGGAAUGAAAUGAAGCUGAGUCGCAGUCUGGCAAUCCUUUCGCCUUGGUAUAUGCCUUCAUCAGCCUUCAACCCACAGCUCUCUAAUUCAACCCUGGGACACAGGCAUAUCUGGAUUUAUACCUCAGUGAUUCUGGAUCAGAUCUUGCUACAUCUUGAGGACAUCGGACCACCUCCUCCACAGCCUUUAUCACAACGCAUGCAGGUGCUGUGGUAAAACACGUAUAAAAUGAACAACAAGACUCCCUGCCUCGUGGUGGGCAUCUUCUCUAUCCUCAACACCAUCCAGUUCCUCAUCUUUGAUUUGAACCACAUUACGUACUUUGGCUACGAGGACAGAGUCAAUAUCUACAUGGACACAAACUCUGAGACGGUAUCUUGGGUCAUGGCCCACAAGGGAAGCAUCAACAUCGUCUUAUCCACCACCACCAUCUUGUUCGGCGUGUUGCUUCUCUAUUGCAUCCACACGAACAACUACGUGGGGCUGCUGUGCUACGCACUGUGGAUCAUCGUCUAUGAACUCAUCAGUUUCUCCAUGGUCAUGCUCAUCAAUGGGAUCAUCAAUGAUCAGUUCAAGGAGCUGAGUUACCAGCAUCUGCUCUUCCAAAUCUCCCGUAUGCUCCUUCACUUCUUCUCUCUGCCUUUCAUCACCAAGCAUACCUGCAUCCUUUACAAGAUCCCCAAGGUUUCAGUUAAAAUAAACCGCCACAGGCGCUCCUCCAUCAGUACAGUCGAUUCGUGGCCACCUGUCGGGCUGGGAAGCUUGUACCACAAGUUAAACUGAACUGUGCCAGGAAGGAGAGAAAGAGAGGCACAGCACUCCCCAGCAAUAGCUUCCCCUUUUCCCUCUUGCCUUCUGUUGCUUCUACUUACCUUUUAAAGAUUCUUGAGUUUUAUGCA